GUUUAAAUAGUUUAUUUAGAAUAAUAAUUUGUGGUAUUAUAGGAGUAAAUUUGUUACUUUAGGCCC
rnacentral:tRNA from 1 species